CGAUUUUCUAAUUCUACCACUGCUUCUGCAAUUACUACCUCGAGUCCUUCAUUUAAGAACUCUCACUCAUCAGUAACUAUCAGUUCUGUUGACAGGUUAUCGGAAUGGUCUGAUGAAAGCUCAGUGAUGUCAUCAGUCAAGAAACAGCUCCUUGUGUGGCUAAGGUAUGGCCUUAAACCAGUGUCCAGCAUUUGAUUCCGUUUCUCCCAUUGCCUGAAGGCAGGGCUCUGCUUCGUCUUUCCUCCACGAGCGUUUGCACCACUGUGCCACUUGCAGAUCUCCUUAUCUCCUUGUUAUAAGUGGUUCAAAACCCACUUGUAUUCUCAGGAGAGCACUCACCAAGAAUUUCAGUUUGGACUCAGCAAGAUUUGGGUUUUGAUUUCUGGCUCUGUGACUUGUUUGAUGUGAGAAGGAAUAACUUAUUUAAUUUUGAGAAUCUUCAGUUAUCUUUUCUGUAAAAAGGUGAUAAUCAUACUUACCUCAGAGAGUAACGGAUGCAUUAAUAAAUGUCUUAGAGUGCUGGCCACGAUGCUGAGGCAUGGACAUUUGCCUUUUUUUCCCAUUAUAGGUUAAUCUCUUAUUUACUCACAUUUCAAUCUGUUAA
rnacentral:lncRNA from 1 species